rnacentral:rRNA from 1 species
UAGGGAAUCUUCCACAAUGGACGAAAGUCUGAUGGAGCAACGCCGCGUGAGUGAUGAAGGGUUUCGGCUCGUAAAACUCUGUUGUUGGAGAAGAACGGGUGUCAGAGUAACUGUUGACAUCGUGACGGUAUCCAACCAGAAAGCCACGGCUAACUACGUGCCAGCAGCCGCGGUAAUACGUAGGUGGCAAGCGUUGUCCGGAUUUAUUGGGCGUAAAGCGAGCGCAGGCGGUUUUUUAGGUCUGAUGUGAAAGCCUUCGGCUUAACCGGAGAAGUGCAUCGGAAACCGGGAGACUUGAGUGCAGAAGAGGACAGUGGAACUCCAUGUGUAGCGGUGAAAUGCGUAGAUAUAUGGAAGAACACCAGUGGCGAAGGCGGCUGUCUGGUCUGCAACUGACGCUGAGGCUCGAAAGCAUGGGUAGCGAACAGGAUUAGAUACCCUGGUAGUCCAUGCCGUAAACGAUGAGUGCUAAGUGUUGGAGGGUUUCCGCCCUUCAGUGCUGCAGCUAACGCAUUAAGCACUCCGCCUGGGGAGUACGACCGCAAGGUUGA